rnacentral:snRNA from 1 species
UCCUUGUUAGAAUACACAAAGCC